rnacentral:rRNA from 1 species
GCGUGCGCAUUGUAAUCUCAAGAAGUGUUUUCCGCUUCGGACCAAGCCUAAGUCCCCUGGAAAGGGGCAUCAUAGAGGGUGAUAAUCCCGUACAUGGCUUGGAGCGCCCGAGGCUUUGUGAUACGCUUUCUAAGAGUCGAGUUGUUUGGGAAUGCAGCUCAAAAUGGGUGGUAAAUGCCAUCUAAGGCUAAAUAUUGGGGAGAGACCGAUAGCGAACAAGUACAGUGAUGGAAAGAUGAAAAGAACUUUGAAAAGAGAGUUAAACAGUACGUGAAAUUGCCAAAAGGGAAGGGUAGGAGGUCAGAGAUGCGGCCUGGGAUUCAGCCUUGCUUUUGCUUGGUGUUUUUCCCAGAUUGCAGGCCAACGUCGGUUUUGGGCACUGGAGAAGGGUAGGAGGAACGUGGCACCCCUCGGGGUGUGUUAUAGCCUCCUACUGGAUACAGCGACCGAGACCGAGGACAGCAGCGUACUCGCAAGAGCGGGCCUUCGGGCACCUUUACGCUUAGGGCGUUGGCAUAAUGGCCCUCUACCACCCGUCUUG